rnacentral:rRNA from 1 species
UAGGGAAUUUUCGUCAAUGGGGGAGCCCUGAACGAGCAAUGCCGCGUGUGUGAAGAAAGUCUUCGGAUCGUAAAGCACUGUUGUAAGUGAAGAAUGCCAUAUAGAGGAAAUGCUAUGUGGGUGACGGUAGCUUACCAGAAAGCCACGGCUAACUACGUGCCAGCAGCCGCGGUAAUACGUAGGUGGCAAGCGUUAUCCGGAAUCAUUGGGCGUAAAGGGUGCGUAGGUGGCACGAUAAGUCUGAAGUAAAAGGCAACAGCUCAACUGUUGUAUGCUUUGGAAACUGUCGAGCUAGAGUGCAGAAGAGGGCGAUGGAAUUCCAUGUGUAGCGGUAAAAUGCGUAGAUAUAUGGAGGAACACCAGUGGCGAAGGCGGUCGCCUGGUCUGUAACUGACACUGAUGCACGAAAGCGUGGGGAGCAAAUAGGGAUUAGAUACC